GAUGAACGCUGGCGGCGUGCUUAACACAUGCAAGUCGAACGAUAAAGCCCAGCUUGCUGGGUGGAUUAGUGGCGAACGGGUGAGUAACACGUGAGUAACCUGCCCUUGACUCUGGGAUAAGCCCGGGAAACUGGGUCUAAUACCGGAUAGGAGCGCCUGUCGCAUGACGGGUGUUGGAAAGAUUUUUCGGUCAUGGAUGGACUCGCGGCCUAUCAGCUUGUUGGUGAGGUAAUGGCUCACCAAGGCGACGACGGGUAGCCGGCCUGAGAGGGUGACCGGCCACACUGGGACUGAGACACGGCCCAGACUCCUACGGGAGGCAGCAGUGGGGAAUAUUGCACAAUGGGCGGAAGCCUGAUGCAGCGACGCCGCGUGAGGGAUGACGGCCUUCGG
rnacentral:rRNA from 1 species